CCCACGGCAGUCUCGCGGUGUUUCCUUCACCCGCGGGAGAUUUUUGAACGCUGGGGCGGUAACCGCGCCCUGGGCGCCCAGCGGCCGGCUGAUAGGAGGCUGAGGCGGUUCUGUGGAGACUCGGCCGGUGGUGGGUCCGGCUGCGGCGGCCGCACGCGGACGGGGCUCGUGCCCGCGGGGUCCCGGCGCCAUGGGGGUGGAGAAGAGGCUGCUGCCGAUUAAGGAGGCCUUUCAGCUGGCGCAGCAGCCGCACCAGAACCAGGCGAAGCUGGGAAAUAAUUGUGUUUAAUAACCAUAGGAGUCGUGUGUCUCGGAUAACAGUUCACUGAUUUUCAACAUAAAUCUGCAUCUGAUUAAAUAGGCUUAAGAUUCAAGGAUUUGUAGAAGAGCAAAAGAAUCUUUUGUGAUCAAAAUCUGUGUUGCCUUGCUCCAUGGGUUUGCCUUGCUCCAUGAGAGAAGUAACUCAAAAACAAGAGAGACGUAGGAUAAAAUACGAUUACGACUAGAAGCUGAUUUCUUAGAUAAUGCUGGCUUCAAUUAAAAAAAUUUAAGAAACAGUUUCAGGACUGAGGCAAAUAACAAUGAAAUUCGAUUUUUAUUAUGCCAGAUUCUAAAUAAGUUCUUGGGAAAUAUGCUGGAAAAUGCCCAGACUGAUAAUAUUUUGUAUAUAAAAUUAAUGAAGCCCUCCUUUUUAUACUGAAAGAUAAAAUUCCAAAUAUGAGAAUAUAGGCAAUCCUGGCUCUUUCGAGACUUAAGACCUCUAGGUAUGACUGCCGCAUGGUUAAAGGAAACCACUAUCCUGAAUUUUGUUACUCAUUGUUACUCAUUACCUUGCUUUUCUUUAGAGUUUACUUUAUUAUAAGGCUACCUAGAUAUAUCCCAAAAAUAUGCAAUGUAUCUUUGCCUUUUUUACCUUCAUAUAAAUGGAGUUAUAUUGCAUGUAUACUUUUGUAACUAAUUUUUUUCCAUUUAACAGUUUCUAAGAGUAAUCCAAAUUUAUGCAUGUAGCCAUAGUUCAUUCUUUUUCACUAGUAUAUAGUAUUUUGUUUUAGAAAUACAGCACACUAGAGUUAUCCAUUAUCUGUUUACUAUUGUCAGCUCAACUGUUAUCAGCAUUUUCAGAUGUGUGCAAAAGUUUCUCUGGCUAAUAUGCCUAGAGGUAGUGUUAUGGACUGAAUUGUGUUUCCUCAAAAUUCAUAUGUUGAGUCCAUAACUCACAAUACCUCAGAAUGUGACUGCGUUUGGAGAUAGGGCCUUUAAAGAAGUAAUUAAGUUAAAAUGAGGCCUAUAGGGGAAGCAGUAAUCCAAUCUGACUGGUAUCUUUAUAAGAAGAGGAAAUUAGGAUAUACAGAGACACACUGCACGUGUACAUGCAAAGAGGGAAGGCUGUGUGAGGAUGUCUGCAAGAGGACAUCUGUAAGCCAAGUGGAGGGGCCUCAGAAGAAACCAAGCCUGCCCACACCUUGCUCCUGGACUUCUGGCCUCCAAAACAGAAAAUAAAUUUCUGUUGUUUAAGUGACCAAGUCUACAGUAUUUUUGUUAUGGCAGCCCUAUCAAACUAAUAACAGUUAGAAUUGCUAGAUGGUAGAAUUAUGCACAUGUUCAACUUAAUUAGUAUUGCUGAUAUUUUUCUAAAGUGGUUGGGUCAAUUUACAAUCCUACUGGCAGUGUAUGAGAAAUCUUGUUCUACAUCCUUGCGCAAACCUGAUACUGUAAGACUUGACUUUUUCCAGUCUGGUUGGAGAGGAGUGGAAUCUGGUCGUUUUAGUUGCAUUUUCCUGAUAACUGAGAGUUAAAUAACUAUAUGUUUCUUGUUUCUAUAUCAAUAAAAUGACUAUUAUAUCUUU